GCCUGACUGGCUCAGUUGAAAGAGCAUGUGACUCUUGAUCUCAGGGUUGUGGGUUCAAGUCCCAAGUUGAGUG
rnacentral:tRNA from 1 species